AGCUCCUGCCGGCCGACGACGAUCACCAGGAGUACUCCGCCGGCGACGACUCCGGCGGGGAAGAGGGCGGCCUGUGGCGCCGGGCGAUCCUGAUGGGGGAGCGGUGCAAGCCGCUCGACUUCCCCGGCGCCAUCCACUACGACAGCUUCGGCCGGCGGCUCCCGGCCGCGCCCGCGCCCCCGCCCCGCGGCGGCAAGGCGGCGGCGGGCGCGCUGCUAUGCCGCUCCGCGUGCGACGUCGACGAGGCCGCCCUGGCCUACAAGUACAUUUCUCAGUGAAAACUAAAACGUCGAAGGCGAUUGCUCAAGUUUAUCCCGUGAAUUGCCAAAUUACUGCCAAAGCUUGAGGCUUAUAAAACGAGUUUGCGGUUGCUGUGUUGUCCUUAUGUUUCAACGGAUGGCCCACCUUUAACAGGCGGCUUCCUAGGCUACACUUGCGCUGCACGAUGGCACCACGAGAGCCACGUACGUGUUGGAGUUCAAAGAUGAUACCAAAACAAUCACAAGGUGCCAUUUCUGCUGAAGAUUCAUGUACACGUACAAUAACGCCAACCACAGCGUGCACCAUCGAGUUCCAUCAGGCAACAGCUCCCGAACUACUGUAGUAUGCAUUGGAGGCAUUAUCCAAUGGCAGAAAGGGCAAAAUCAAUGGUUGAAUUGGGCAUUAUUAUCAAUUUAUCAUGAUCUCUGUU